AUGAGCGCUGGCAGUGUGUCUAAGACAUGCAAGUCGUGCGGACUUCAUCGGGUAGCAAUACUUGGCGAAGUUAGCGGCGAACGGGUGAGUAACACGUGAGUGACCUACCCCAAAGUGCGGAAUAACACCGGGAAACUGGUGCUAAUGUCGCAUGUGGACCCACCUCCUGUGGUGUGUCUAAAGCCGUAAGGCGCUUUGGGAUGGGCUCGCGGCACAUCAGCUAGUUGGUAGGGUAAUGGCCUACCAAGGCAACGACGCGUAGCCG
rnacentral:rRNA from 1 species